GUUACGCAAUGUGCAAACGCGCCGUCGUCAUCAACGAGCCCCCACAACUCGCCGCCACUGCUAAUGAAGUGGAACUGAUUGAAAACGAAGAGAAACAUGAUACUGUUAUGUAAUAGGAUCAAAACAAAAACGAGAUUGUAUAUUCGGUAAUUGAGAUCGAGAAUUUUGAUAAAAUUAUAAAAUUAGUUGCAAACUACGUCAAGUUUAGUGCUGGUUCAAGUGCCAGUUUAGAUAUAAAAUUGUUUUGAUUAAUUGAAGUUCAUUUAAGUUUGUUUAUUGAAGAUCAGGUAGAAUUAUUCUAAAGCUGAAUUUCGAAAUAUUUGCAUUACUUAUACUAAAUUACUUCGACAGAACUGAUCGUUACUUCGAGUACAGCUGAGCAUCGAUAGCAAGCAGCAUAAUUGAGGUAAAUGCUCGUUUAUAACAUAUCAUUAGUGCAUAAAAUGAAUGCAACAUGUAUACAGGGAUAUUGUAAGCAGUCGCAGUUACCGUACGAGUUCAAUUUCCGGACGUAGCGAAAUAAUACGUGGACACUAAACGUAAGUAAGAACGAAGGCAGGAAAAGUUAUUGAUUCUUAAAUGUGAAACUAAACUAGGCAAAAUGAUUAUGUAUUCAACAGGAAAAUUUAACAAUUUGCAAAUAAACGGAUUAAAGCGAGUUGUUCAAGUUUACGGAAAACCGUCUACCAUACUGUUGUCGAUUCGGGAACAUAUUAAAUUUUCGUUUAUCGUCGGAAUGUCAAGCGGUAGCGUAGCGGGUGCUGGAGUGAAGGAAAGCGGUUCUCCUGGUGAAGGAGUGAACUGUGGAGUGUGUCGCCGAACCGAUAAAGACUGCACCAAUGGUCGAAUGGUACAAUGCGACGAGUGCGAUGAGUGGUUCCAUUACGAUUGUGUGAAUGUUAACGAUAGUAUACGGAAUUCUGACUGGAGCUGUAACGAGUGCGUAAGAACUUCGCUGGACAAGCAACGGCGAGCUAUAAGUGAGCAGAUGCAGCAGCUCAACCAGCAGCAGAAGCAGUGGCAACAUCAGCAGCAGAAACACCUGGAGCAGACUGAGAAACAGCUGGAGAACCCUGAGCAGCGGCACGAACAACAGCGGCAGCAGCGAAGUCAAGAGCAGUUAGAUCAGUUGCAAACAGGGCAGCUGCAGUUGCAACAGCCUUGUAACCAGCUGGAAGCAGUUACAUUCGGAUUCAACGUGCCGCGGCAAUCGUUUGGCAGUGCUCUGAGACAGAAUCAGCCACAGCCAGUCAGGUUAGCGGACGUGGUCGUUUCGGAGGGACAAGAAGCGAAUGGACAGAGCCAUAGCAACCCGUUAGGGAGUUUCACCGCCAACAAUGUGAGAUUAUUUAGUAGAAGUAACAAGGCGUCGUCGAAGUCAUCAAAGCGUUCUGUAAAACUUCGAGAACUGCAAACGAAGGCUCUUGAAGCAAGACAGGCGCUGGAGAAAAAGCAGUUGGAAGAGCGAUUAGCGUUGGAGCGUGAAAUGUUGGAGGAUAGUGAUUCCGAGGUGGACUCAGUUACGAGUCACAAGAACAUUAACGAAUGGCUGAAUAUAUCGGAUAAUCCAGGAAAGAUAACAGGAAACUCGAUGGAUGAAACACCACUGCCAGUGUACGACGAACUUCUGCGAAAACCGGUUGUGUCAGCAUCUCAAUCGUGUCUCCCUGGUGCACCGAUAGCGCCAUCAAGUGUUCAGCAACAUACUGGAUACCAUGUCUCGCAGCAGUUUAGGAGAAGUUAUGCUCCCAAGGUCAGGUACGCUGACAAUAUACGACCUAGUACGAAAAUUUCGGGGUUUCUACCGGAUUUCCAACCACUAUUGGGUGAUGACUCAUCCAUGCCGAUACCUACCGUAGCGUCGCAGCAGCCUAGAAUGACAGCGUAUCCGGCGACAAGUUUUCAACAUCAAGUCGCUCAAAAUCGGCAUCCCGGUUUAAAUCCGCAGAACGUUGAUCAGCCAGUGAUGAGCACAUCAACUCCACGACAUCAUUUAUCUACAUCUCAAAAGCAGUGUCAGCCACAUAUGUACAGCAGUUCUGCACCGCUGGAUAGUGGCCACCUAGCAGCAAGGCAGACGGUUAAAGACCUUCCUAAGUUCGGCGGGGAUCCCGAAGAUUGGCCCAGAUUCAUUGCGGCAUACGAGCGCACUUCUAGAAUGUGUGCUUUUAGGAACGACGAGUUGCUCGACCGUCUGGAGAGAAGUUUGCAUGAUAAGGCACUCAACGCAGUCAAAAGCAUGUUGCUGCAUCCCGAUAAUGUUCCAAUGAUUAUAAAUCGGCUAAAAACACUUUUUGGUAAUGCAGAAUUCAUCGUAGAAACUAUGAUUAGAAGAAUUCGCAUGAUGGCCCCACCGAAAGCAGACAAACUGGAAACCAUUGUCGACUUCGGUGUCGCAGUACAGAACCUCUGUGCAACGAUUCAAGUCUGCCAGAUGGACGAACGACUAUACAAUGUCGCAUUACUGCAGGAGCUUGUGGAUAACUUACCGUCUACGUUGAAAAUGCAGUGGGCGCUUCAUCGUAGAAAUAUUGGAACAGCUACAAUGUUAGACUUCAACAAUUGGUUAGGAGAAAUGGUUGAGGCCUUUAGCCAGGUGAUUAGACCCACUGUAUGGCACAAGCCGCAGAGCUCCGAUUUCAAAUUUGAAAGGAACACCCGUAAAGAACAUAUCAAUGUUCAUGUCCAUGCAACAGACCCUCCAGAAAACGUAGAUGCCAUAGUUUGUCUAGCGUGUGACAACGAUUGUAGCACACUUGACGUGUGCACUAGCUUUCUGGAAAUGUCGCCGAAUGCACGUUGGACGCUGGUUAAAGAGAAGCAAAUAUGCAGAAAGUGUUUAGCUAAACAUUUAGGAAACUGUGACAGAAACAUCCCCUGCAACCAAAACGGGUGCAGCUAUCUGCAUCACAGGCUGUUACAUGAUGAAAGACAUCACAAAAGGCAGCCAUCAAAUACUCCAGUUCAACGUACGUCUUGUAAUGUUCACUACAGUUCACAGAAAGACGUCCUAUUGAAGUACAUUCCUGUCACGGUGUUUGGAAAAGGCAAAGCAAUCAAAACUUAUGCUUUCCUUGAUUCAGGAUCGACAUCGACGAUUAUAGAGCACAGUUUGUGGAGAGAAUUGGAUCUUGACGGUAAGAAAUCGCCAUUGAGAAUCUCAUGGACUGAUGGACAAAAAAGGUGUGAAGCGAAUUCUAUGGUGUUUUCAGCUAAAAUAGCUAGUUCACAGAACCCAGGGCAAAGCUUCAUUCUUCCCGAGAUACAUACCGUGAAAACCCUAGAUCUCCCUGCGCAGUCAAUAUCGGCGGCAAAGUUAGCGGAACAUUUUUCACAUCUAUCAGAUCUGCCAAUAGUGUCAUACUCAGAUGUCAAGCCCCGAAUUUUACUGGGAGUUGAUAGCUCAAGAUUGGAGAGUCCGUUUGACUUCAGAGAGGGUGACGAAAAUGAGCCGAUGGCAAUGCUCACUCGACUGGGGUGGGUGGUUUACGGUCCGUGUUCGAUGCCAGAACAAGCGAAGGUCAUCGAAGAUGUCGCAAGCAACGAGUUAAACGGAGCUCAAAGGAUUGCCAAGCCCGAAAAUAUCAAGAAGAUACCGAUGACAACAGAUGAAAAUAACGUGUUGCCACAUGUUAACGUUGUUGGAAAGCAGCGUUUAGUACAGAUCGAUAAUAGCGCACUACUUUCUCCAAGCGAAACUAUGGUCACUAAACGGCUAGAAAACAGGAACAAUCGUUCAGGUAUACAACAAAUGCCGUUUGGUCACACCAUUUUGGGACGAGCUAUGUCAUCGGGAACUCCAGACCGGAAGUGUUGUGCUCCCUACAAUAGCCCCGCUACGCAAAUGUACAUAAUGGACUACCAGGAGCAGCAGACCCAAUGUGACUAUACGGAUAUGAAGUUGGAAGUCGACUCCGACGCAACAGAGAGUACACAAGGACUUACAAGUUGUGUACUGGGGGGGAGUGUUACGCAAUGUGCAAACGCGCCGUCGUCAUCAACGAGCCCCCACAACUCGCCGCCACUGCUAAUGAAGUGGAACUGAUUGAAAACGAAGAGAAACAUGAUACUGUUAUGUAAUAGGAUCAAAACAAAAACGAGAUUGUAUAUUCGGUAAUUGAGAUCGAGAAUUUUGAUAAAAUUAUAAAAUUAGUUGCAAACUACGUCAAGUUUAGUGCUGGUUCAAGUGCCAGUUUAGAUAUAAAAUUGUUUUGAUUAAUUGAAGUUCAUUUAAGUUUGUUUAUUGAAGAUCAGGUAGAAUUAUUCUAAAGCUGAAUUUCGAAAUAUUUGCAUUACUUAUACUAAAUUACUUCGACAGAACUGAUCGUUACUUCGAGUACAGCUGAGCAUCGAUAGCAAGCAGCAUAAUUGAGGGAUAUUGUAAGCAGUCGCAGUUACCGUACGAGUUCAAUUUCCGGACGUAGCGAAAUAAUACGUGGACACUAAACGUAAGUAAGAACGAAGGCAGGAAAAGUUAUUGAUUCUUAAAUGUGAAACUAAACUAGGCAAAAUGAUUAUGUAUUCAACAGGAAAAUUUAACAAUUUGCAAAUAAACGGAUUAAAGCGAGUUGUUCAAGUUUACGGAAAACCGUCUACCAUACUGUUGUCGAUUCGGGAACACUACUCUCCGCAUCAACCAAUGUGGCGCUAGCUUCUAUGCGCGAAAAAUCGCUAAAAGUAAAUCGCAAAAAUAUUGUAUGGCGAAUACCAUCUAAAGGCAUAUU